GACGAACGCUGGCGGCGUGCUUAACACAUGCAAGUCGAACGGAAAGGCCCUGCUUUUGUGGGGUGCUCGAGUGGCGAACGGGUGAGUAACACGUGAGUAACCUGCCCUUGACUUUGGGAUAACUUCAGGAAACUGGGGCUAAUACCGGAUAGGAGCUCCUGCUGCAUGGUGGGGGUUGGAAAGUUUCGGCGGUUGGGGAUGGACUCGCGGCUUAUCAGCUUGUUGGUGGGGUAGUGGCUUACCAAGGCUUUGACGGGUAGCCGGCCUGAGAGGGUGACCGGCCACAUUGGGACUGAGAUACGGCCCAGACUCCCACGGGAGGCAGCAGUGGGGAAUAUUGCACAAUGGGCGGGAGCCUGAUGCAGCAACGCCGCGUGCGGGAUGACGGCCUUCGGGUUGUAAACCGCUUUCGCCUGUGACGAAGCGUGAGUGACGGUAAUGGGUAAAGAAGCACCGGCUAACUACGUG
rnacentral:rRNA from 1 species